AUAUUUUCAAUGGCGGUACGUAGGCGCAGUGCAAGUCUUGUCCUAUUUCAAAUAUAAUAUUCGCAAACAUAUCUCGAGGCUGACCUCGUGUGAACAGUUAUUGCUUCUUUAUUUAGAUUCGGUCCUUGGUUGUUACACUCGUAAGCAAACGUGAGCCUCACAUGCAUACUAAAUGCUCAGAUCAUAGUGGCCACGUGACUAACCUGCAGCUUGGAGUUACUAGCGAUUGUAUGCUAAUGAAAAUGCCCUAUACGUCCCGAUCGCCUCACCGUCAUUCUACUCUAUUGGAAUCGUAUAAAGUCCCGACUUCUAUUCAAAGAAAAACUAACCUUCGACUGCAGACGGUGCGGACAACCUGUGGUCAGCGGUUACCGUCACUCAUUGACAUCAGCAAUAGGUAUACCUACUGCUAACCAGUUUUAAGAAGGAUAUACAUAGUUCUCAGGAAAUGUUUGGGACGGGAAUUCCAGAGCGAGCUAUGUGUUAUAGGUAAAAAUGAGAUGAAGGUAUAAUCUCAAACAAUUCUUCAGAGAACUCCCUAUGGGACAUUCGGUACGGAACAGGGUAAGUUAUUUAGAUACUUUCAAGUCGUCAGCAUAUUUUAUCGAUGAAUGGAUUGAGUUUUAUGUAAACACUCAAACGAUAUGUAGGCGUUUUCUUUAGAGUUCCUUGUGAAUCGAAUCCGUAGUGUGACGAGGUCACCUGCCUAUACGUGGAGUAGCAGCAAUUGUCCGAGCGAUCAGUACUGUACAAAUAAUAUUAUAUGUUCAAGGUUGAGUGAAAGUAUUUUGAUUUAUUCCAUAAAAACUCUGAUUAAACAAUUUAAUUUAGCCGAAGAUUCAAACUAAAGUGAUAUGGUGAUGUAAUAGGUCAGAUGUCGUUGAUUUGUUGUUUAUUUCUUUACGUACCGUUUGCCGAUUGAAAUGUUUAAAAAAUAAUGUUAUCUUUGUUUUCAAAUUGAGUUGAUAAAAAUCGAUCACUCGGGUAAAAAACGUGCAACGAAGCCCCACGGUCAGCAUAUUGAUUUUUGUACGAUAUUAAGAGAGAUAGAUCCAAAAUCGAGGCAAUCAAGAUGUGAUGUUGGAGACUUAUAUUACGCAUCCCAUGGACUGCUGGUCGAAAAAAAUUGUCGUCUCGAAAAUCUCCAUAAUAACUAGGCCCUCUACAAUCAAUCUCUCAUCUACCCGUUGGUCAUAGCAUCACCUACCGGCAUGCCCCAUACCUGAAGCACUCAGGACCAUAGAAGAUAUAAGCACGUGGAAAGGAACUGUGCGAGUGAUGAGAGAACAGCCAUCUAACUAGACAUGACCUUCAGAACUGAAGAUGCCGGCUCAGAAGAACAAAGUAACCACGAAGCGACUCUACAAA